rnacentral:rRNA from 1 species
GAUGGUUCCAGGGAAAGAACCCCUACGGUAUCCCCGAGGGCCUCUUUCAGAGGUAUAGUGCUCAAGUGGCUGGCUCAUGGGGACACCCCUGCCUUUUUGAGGCGGAACGGAUAGUUUCCAGAGGCAGCCGGAGGGCCUCUGUUUUAGAGGUAUGCUCACCAUACCCCCCAGGAUGUCAGCGGAAUGAUUAAUAAAUCUCUGUGAUCUACAACUGAAUCUGUCUGAACAAAGAACGAUAAGAAAAUGUUAAAACUUUCAGCAACGGAUCUCUUGGUUCUCGCAUCGAUGAAGAACGCAGCGAAAUGCGAUAAGUAGUGUGAAUUGCAGAAUUCCGUGAAUCAUCGAAUCUUUGAACGCACAUUGCGCCUUCUGGUAUUCCGGAAGGCAUGCCUGUUCGAGAGUCAUUAACAACCGUUUCGAUCCCUUUCUUUCAGAAAUUACAAAGAGGAAAAGGGUUUGGUUAUGGUGGAGGAGGGAAAGGGAGCGUUUAGCCUGUAAAAAAAGAGGCUGUGUUCCGCCUCCCCCCCAAAAUUGUACAGGCGGUCGUGUGCGCCCACGCAUCGAGGUGUUGUAAAAGCUGCCACGGCACUUUUCACCUGUGCAGUGCGAGAUUGGCCAGCCGGUUAAAAACCCCUCCAAACAAUCAAAGGUGAC